CAGCAGCCGCGGUAACACGUAGGGUGCGAGCGUUAAUCGGAAUUACUGGGCGUAAAGCGUGCGCAGGCGGUUCGUUAAGACAGAUGUGAAAUCCCCGGGCUUAACCUGGGAACUGCAUUUGUGACUGGCGAGCUAGAGUAUGGCAGAGGGGGGUAGAAUUCCACGUGUAGCAGUGAAAUGCGUAGAGAUGUGGAGGAAUACCGAUGGCGAAGGCAGCCCCCUGGGCCAAUACUGACGCUCAUGCACGAAAGCGUGGGGAGCAAACAGGAUUAGAUACCCGUGUAGUCCCUGUCUCUUAUAC
rnacentral:rRNA from 1 species